GCCUGGGUGGCUCAGUCGGUUGAGCGUCUGACUUCAGCUCAGGUUAUGAUCUCACAGUCCGUGGGUUCGAGCCCCCUCAACGGGCU
rfam:Felis catus isolate Cinnamon breed Abyssinian chromosome A3, whole genome shotgun sequence.